GAGCGGCAGCAUGUGCAGUAGCAAUACUGCAUGAUGGCGAGCGGCGGACGGGUGAGUAACGCGUAAGAACCUGCCGUAUAGAUGGGGACAACCAAGGGAAACUUUGGCUAAUACCGAAUAUACUCGAGAGAGGAAAGGUGCCUGGUAACAGGUAUCGCUAUAUGAGGGGCUUGCGUCCGAUUAGCUAGUUGGUGAGGUAAAUGCUUACCAAGGCAGAGAUCGGUAACUGGUCUGAGAGGACGACCAGUCACACUGGGACUGAGACACGGCCCAGACUCCUACGGGAGGCAGCAGUGGGGAAUAUUGGACAAUGGGGGCAACCCUGAUCCAGCGAUGCCGCGUGGGUGAAGAAGGCCUUCGGGUUGUAAAGCCCUUUAAGAUGGGAAGAAGUUGGUUGGGUGAAUACCCCGACCAGUUGACGGUACCGUCAGAAUAAGCACCGGCAAACUCUGUG
rnacentral:rRNA from 1 species